AGUGAACGCUGGCGGUAGGCCUAACACAUGCAAGUCGAACGGCAGCACAGUAAGAGCUUGCUCUUACGGGUGGCGAGUGGCGGACGGGUGAGGAAUACAUCGUAAUCUACUUUUUCGUGGGGGAUAACGUAGGGAAACUUACGCUAAUACCGCAUACGACCUACGGGUGAAAGCAGGGGAUCUUCGGACCUUGCGCGAUUGAAUGAGCCGAUGUCGAAUUAGCUAGUUGGCGGGGUAAAGGCCCACCAAGGCGACGAUCCGUAGCUGGUCUGAGAGGAUGGUAAGCCACACUGGAACUUAGACACGGUCCAGACUCCUACGGGAGGCAGCAGUGGGGAAUAUUGGACAAUGGGCGCAAGCCUGAUCCAGCCAUACCGCGUGGGUGAAGAAGGCCUUCGGGUUGUAAAGCCCUUUUGUUGGGAAAGAAAAGCAGCAGGUUAAUACCCCGCUGUUCUGACGGUACCCAAAGAAUAAGCACCGGCUAACUUCGUG
rnacentral:rRNA from 1 species